CGCACAGAUAUCGCACAGCACACUUGAACGCCUCAUUUCAUUUCAAUCCUCCUCGGGUUCUGGAUUCCUGCUCAUCAUCUUAUCUCCAACUGGGUAAAAGUUUACUUCUGACGUUCUCUGGACAUCCUGAACAAAUUCCAUUUCAGUUGUUGUUCCCAGUGAUGUUUGGCAGCUCUGAAGGCUGAUAAGAAACCAGAGACCCAUCUCCCCUUCCCUCCUCUCUUAUCUCACCAGCACACUCCACGUUCCCAAAGAUUCUUCCAGACUAUUUUUAAGAAGGGACUGGAAGGGCCCCACCGACGGUUCUCCUGCAGGAGAAACACAAAGGCACUACUGAGAAAAACCCUGUUGAGUCACGUGAGGGAAAGGACACAAAUUACCUACAGGCUUACCUGAGAGUCCCCGUGACAGAGUCAGAAGCGACUCGGACCUAUACUCUCUGGCCCCGAGAGUGGAUUUUAGAUUCCCUUUUCCCUUCCCUUCACACCUU